rnacentral:rRNA from 1 species
UACGUAGGUGGCAAGCGUUGUCCGGAAUUAUUGGGCGUAAAGCGCGCGCAGGCGGUCCUUUAAGUCUGAUGUGAAAGCCCACGGCUCAACCGUGGAGGGUCAUUGGAAACUGGGGGACUUGAGUGCAGGAGAGAAGAGUGGAAUUCCACGUGUAGCGGUGAAAUGCGUAGAGAUGUGGAGGAACACCAGUGGCGAAGGCGACUCUUUGGCCUGUAACUGACGCUGAGGCGCGAAGGUCAGGGGAGCAAACGGG